GAUGAACGCUAGCGGGAGGCUUAACACAUGCAAGUCGAGGGGCAGCACGAUGUAGCAAUACGUUGGUGGCGACCGGCGCACGGGUGAGUAACACGUAUGUAACCUACCCUGUACAGGGGGAUAACCCGGAGAAAUUCGGACUAAUACUCCAUGGAGAUAUACUGGGGCAUCCUGGUAUAUUUAAAGCUUCGGUGGUACGGGAUGGGCAUGCGGAACAUUAGCUAGUUGGCAGGGUAACGGCCUACCAAGGCUACGAUGUUUAGGGGACCUGAGAGGGUGAUCCCCCACACUGGUACUGAGACACGGACCAGACUCCUACGGGAGGCAGCAGUGAGGAAUAUUGGUCAAUGGGCGGAAGCCUGAACCAGCCAUCCCGCGUGCAGGAAGACGGCCCUAUGGGUUGUAAACUCCUGUCAGAAGGGACGAAAUCCCGCAAGGGACUGACGGUACCUUCAGAGGAAGCCCCGGCUAACUACGUG
rnacentral:rRNA from 1 species